UACGAAGGGGGCUAGCGUUGUUCGGAAUUACUGGGCGUAAAGCGUGCGCAGGCGGUUUUGUAAGUCAGAUGUGAAAUCCCCGGGCUUAACCUGGGAACUGCGUUUCUAACUGGCAGGCUUGAGUGUGGCAGAGGGGGGUGGAAUUCCACGUGUAGCAGUGAAAUGCGUAGAGAUGUGGAGGAACACCGAUGGCGAAGGCAGCCCCCUGGGCUAACACUGACGCUCAUGCACGAAAGCGUGGGGAGCAAACAGG
rnacentral:rRNA from 1 species